UGAAAUAGCAGAAAGCAAGUUUGGAAGAGGAGUUUUUUGUUUUUGUGUUUGUUUUUGUUUCCUUGUUUGUUUGUUUUUAAAUUGGUGAAGGAGUUCCUAUUAUUUAAUGUCACUAAGCCUUCGUAUCUCAUCUGUAAAAUAAGAAGGAUGAUUAUAGUCAUGAUGGUCAUGGUGGUGGUGGUAAUUCCAUGCCAGAACUAAGGUAAUUGCUUGCGUUUAUCAGCUUAUUUUAAUCCUUGCACCCUCUGAGGUAGUUACUACUACAGAUUAAGAAAUGGAAUAUAAGAGGUUCCAUGACUUGUCCAAGGUCAAACAGCCAGCCAAUAGCUGGGCCAGGGAUGAAUCCAGGAUGUUAAGCCCAGAACCUCAUUUCUAACCACUACUGAUGGGGUUGUAGAUAUCAAAUGAUAAAUGAAGUAUACAUAAAGUGCCUAGUAUAUACCACUCAAUGGAUGGAAGCUGUUAUUAUCAGCAGUUAUUUUUAGGACAGCUGGGCAGAGCAGUUUGAACAGAGAAGUGCUGUGCAUAUUUGGUUUUGUGUAGUGGGUGGAUUGCAGUGUUGAGGACUGCAGGCAGAGGAUGUUGGGACAAGGGUGCAUGAGGUGACUUAUGAAGAUCUGGACUAAGGCCCUGGUAACAUAGAUGGAAAAAGAGGACCAAGUAGGGAGACGAAAAGCAACCUCUUGGCAAGGUGUUCCUUAGGCAGGAAGUUAGUUGACAAAUGUGAUUCUUUCAAAGUGGAUUUUCACAAAAAUUACUCAUAAAGACUACUUCUAAAAAUGUACUAAAAAUUGAAACUCUCAACAACCUAUGUAUUUAGCAACACACAAGGUACAAAACACCAUCGCCAUCACCACCAAAAACAACUUGCAGCAAUUUCAUGAAUUAGAAGUUAUAUCAUGCAUAUUUAAUUUAUUUGGGAAAUUUUACACACAUAAGGUAUGUAGAAGGAUUAGGACUAAUCUAAGCAUCUUUGCAUUUGUCCUGUGUUUAUUUUAGAUAAAGUUAUGCUAUUUUAAAUAGACACAUUUUUUAUAUUUAAGUAUAUUCCAGAAUUUACUUUUACACAUAAAUGUAAUCAGUCCAAAGCAACUGUGAUCUAUAAAUUUAGCAUCAAUAAUUUUGACUCUAAAAUGAUCCUAGACUUGGAAAAGGAAGAUCCUGGCCUCCCCAUUCUCUUUCUACCCUCUUGAAGCCUGUGGGAACUGCUGGUAACAGGACCUAAAAUAACAAGUAUAUCUGGAAGGCUGUGGUCCGAGGCCAUUUUCCAUUUUUGCUAGCUAUAAUAGGGGUCUCUGGAACCAGAAGGAACACACAGCUCUUCUUAUGAUUGAAGAGGUUUAUGCUUGAGAUGAAACUAAAUUUUAUUUAGGCAAGAGAUACUCUUAUGCGUACAAAACAAAACAAAGAACAACACAAUGAUUCCUAGAGGCAAAAAGAACAAAACCAGAGUAACCUUGGGAGUAACUCUUGCUCAUGGAAACAGCUGCAUGGUUCAUGCCAAAUUCUGAAGCAACCUUCCUGUGAAGGCCCUUGGACACAGAACCUACGUGAUGCUGUACCCCUCAAGGAUUUAAGCUUACUGAAAAGAUAUACAGGAAGAAGCAACAAUCCGAGUAUCGACCACCCUUUCUCUGAAGUUUCUGUGUAAGUCAACGUAAUACAUGAAUACAACUUCUUAAAAAGUAGAGCCAAGCAACACAUAGAACCAGAAGAUCUAUUCUAAAGAUGGUGCUGGCAAGUUGGUGCUGGCUGUAGACAGGUUCAGAGCUUACACUGAAGAACAAUUGGGAAUCAGGAUCAAAUGUGUACUUACCGAAUCUGAAACUGCUACAUGAAUGAAACUUUCAAGAAUGGAAGAACUUAGCUGAUCCAUGACAUCAAUCAUAGGCCUGUCAUCAUCCUGUACAAAGGGUGGGCAGUUACUCUCCAUGGGGAAAUGAAUCCUUCCCACCCACCCAAUUGCCCUUGUUCAGUACAUGAAGCAGAAUAGCUUGCAAGAUAGUGAUAAGGGUUUUCUCACAGAAAAGUGAGUGCCGAGAUGGUGAAUGGCAGUAGAUAAAAUUCCCUGUGAUUCUGAGUUUAGUCUUUCAAUUUUCAGUGGAAGAUGGUUAGAGCUCCAAUUUCAUAUUGUAUUGAAAAAACAUGGACUUGAAUUUCAAAAAGUUGCACACGUAUAGCAGGAUUUAAACACCAGUGCCAUACAUCAUCCAUUGGAGUGUUCAUGUUGUCAUAAAUUUUAAGGAAUGGAAACACCACAAGAAUAUGGCUUGCCAGACCACAAAAUGGUACUAACUUAAGUCACUGGUCUGCUACAAUAAGUGAUAAAUUGUUGACUGUGAUUGAAUUUUAGUUUCAAAGAAAAUGCACUGGAGACUGACAGUUGGUACCUGUGUAUUCUGUGGUAUACUGUUGUGUGUAGCUAUUUGGUAAAAGAAGUAAAUUUCCAUCUACAGAAUAAAUAAGCCACAGGGAUGCAGCUUGGUGACUUUCAGUGAUAAUAACAUACUGCAUAUUUUAAAGGUGCUAAGAGAGUAGAUCUUAGAAGUUUUCAUUACAAGAAAAUAGUUCUAUAACUCUGUAUGGUGAUGGGUGUUAAUUAGACUUAUGGUGGGGAUCAUUUCACAGUGUAAACAACUAUAGACUUAUUAUGUCAUACCCUGAAACUAAUAUAAUGUUGUAUGUAAGUG